rnacentral:rRNA from 1 species
GCAGAAGAAGCGCCGGCUAACUACGUGCCAGCAGCCGCGGUAAUACGUAGGGCGCGAGCGUUGUCCGGAAUUAUUGGGCGUAAAGAGCUCGUAGGCGGCUUGUCACGUCGGAUGUGAAAGCCCGGGGCUUAACCCCGGGUCUGCAUUCGAUACGGGCAGGCUAGAGUUCGGUAGGGGAGAUCGGAAUUCCUGGUGUAGCGGUGAAAUGCGCAGAUAUCAGGAGGAACACCGGUGGCGAAGGCGGAUCUCUGGGCCGAUACUGACGCUGAGGAGCGAAAGCGUGGGGAGCGAACAGGAUUAGAUACCCUGGUAGUCCACGCCGUAAACGUUGGGAACUAGGUGUGGGCGACAUUCCACGUCGUCCGUGCCGCAGCUAACGCAUUAAGUUCCCCGCCUGGGGAGUACGGCCGCAAGGCUAAAACUCAAAGGAAUUGACGGGGGCCCGCACAAGCAGCGGAGCAUGUGGCUUAAUUCGACGCAACGCGAAGAACCUUACCAAGGCUUGACAUACACCGGAAAACCGUGGAGACACGGUCCCCCUUGUGGUCGGUGUACAGGUGGUGCAUGGCUGUCGUCAGCUCGUGUCGUGAGAUGUUGGGUUAAGUCCCGCAACGAGCGCAACCCUUGUUCUGUGUUGCCAGCAUGCCUUUCGGGGUGAUGGGGACUCACAGGAGACUGCCGGGGUCAACUCGGAGGAAGGUGGGGACGACGUCAAGUCAUCAUGCCCCUUAUGUCUUGGGCUGCACACGUGCUACAAUGGCCGGUACAAUGAGCUGCGAUACCGCGAGGUGGAGCGAAUCUCAAAAAGCCGGUCUCAGUUCGGAUUGGGGUCUGCAACUCGACCCCAUGAAGUCGGAGUUGCUAGUAAUCGCAGAUCAGCAUUUAGAGUUUGAUCCUGGCUCAGGACGAACGCAGGCGGCGUGCCGUCACACCACGAGAGUUAUCACACCAGA